CGUCGCAAGACCAAAGAGGGGGACCUUCGGGCCUCUUGCCAUCAGAUGUGCCCAGAUGGGAUUAGCUAGUAGUGGGGUAACGGCUCACCUAGGCGACGAUCCCUAGCUGGUCUGAGAGGAUGACCAGCCACACUGGAACUGAGACACGGUCCAGACUCCUACGGGAGGCAGCAGUGGGGAAUAUUGCACAAUGGGCGCAAGCCUGAUGCAGCCAUGCCGCGUGUAUGAAGAAGGCCUUCGGGUUGUAAAAGUACUUUCAGCGGGGAGGAAGGUGUUGUGGUUAAUAACCACAGCAAUUGACGUUACCCGCAGAAGAAGCACCGGGUUAACUCCGUGCCAGCAGCCGCGGUAAUACGGAGGGGUGCAAGCGUUAAUCGGGAAUUACUGGGGCAUUAAAAGCGGCACGCAGGGCGGGUCCUGUCCAAGUCCGGAUUGUUGGAAAUUCCCCCGGGGCUCNAACCUGGGGAACUUGGAUUUCCGAAAACUUGGGGCAGGGCUAAGAAGGUCUUGGUAAAAGGGGGGGUUAAAAAUUCCCCAGUUGUUAACGGGUGAAAAUGCGUAAGAAAAAUUCUGGGAGGGAAUAACCGGGUNGGCGAAAAG
rnacentral:rRNA from 1 species